GGAAACAACGCAGCUGACCGGGCAGCAAAGCAAGCUGCCCAAAAAUCAGUGGGGAAACAAAUGGUGCUGCUACCUACACCCGUGCUCCCAGAGAGGCCUGAAUAUACAGAGUAAGAAAUAAUGGAGAUGAGUAAGAACCACUGGACCAAAGGAAAGCGUGGAUGGUGGACAACAGAUGAAGGGAAGGUCGUUCUGCCAGCCUGGGUGGCUGACACUUUGCUAAAUGAGCUCCAUGAAUCCACCCACCUAGGAGAAAAGAGGAUGAUGGCCCUGCUACGGCCCCACUUUGUCAGCAGAGAAUUAGCCCAGAAGGCCCAGGACAAAGUGAGACAGUGCCCCACCUGCCUCAAGGUUUGACUCCAAGACCUUGGAACCACGGUGGAAGGGGCCUUUUCCAGUUGUCCUGUCUACUUCUCUGGUUGUGAAGGUUGCAGGACACCUGACGUGGAUCCAUCGCAACCACCUCAAGCCCGGACCGGACAACAGCCCAGAGGCGCACGGAAAAUGGAGCGUUGUCAGCAAACCCGGAGAAUUGAAAAUAAAACUCUGCUCAACUGGACCUUCAUUACGAUCUGGGUGAUUUCCCUUGGGACAAUAAUAGUGUUGUCCAGAGAGAACUUAGGUCAUACUAAAAAUGUUUGGGUGCCAUUAGCUGAAUCCUUAAAUUUGUCUGAAAUAUGUUUAAAUGCUGAUGUGAAUUUUCAUUAUGUGCUUGGAAGUUGUUUGGUUCCAGUAUGCACCCCACUUGAAAGUAUUAGACCAUAUACUAUGUUUAAAAAUUUCCCACAAGUAAAUCUCAGUUAUUUGGAUAGUUACAAUUGGGGACAGGUGACAUGUUACAAACCAAAGAAUGCUAUUAAGCUAUAUACCCCUCGAGUAGCUAUGUCCAAUAAGACUCUCUGUGCCAAAUAUAAAGGUUGUACUUCCCAGUGUUUAAAUCUUAAACAAACA